CAUGGGGGGGGGGGGGUGCUGCUGCCCUUUCCAUCCAAGUAAGCUGAAAUUGCGCAUGCUCCGUGCGAGUCCCCGUGCGGACGGGAGAAUAAAGAUGCUGCCUCCGUGUAACCCGGGGCUCCGAGCUGAGCAGGUGCUGCUCCCCGGGGUCCGUGCGGGGGGAGCCCGGCAUUAACUCCUCCAUGCCCGGCCGGGGGGGCUUUCUCCAGCUGGGACCCGUCCCCUGGGCAGCCCCGGGCCGGAGCCCCCCGGCUGCAGAAUGACAUCCCUGUUUCGCUCCAGCUCAUCCCAUGGGACAGGGGAGGAAAAUGGCUGCAGUGGAGCAAGUUCAGGGGCCGGUGACCGUUGAGGAGGUGGCUGUGUAUUUCACCAGGGAAGAGUGGGC